UGGGGAAUAUUGCACAAUGGGGGAAACCCUGAUGCAGCGAGGCCGCGUGAACGAAGAAGUAUUUCGGUAUGUAAAGUUCUAUCAGCAGGGAAGAUAAUGACGGUACCUGACUAAGAAGCACCGGCUAAAUACGUGCCAGCAGCCGCGGUAAUACGUAGGUUGCAAGCGUUGUCCGGAUUUACUGGGUGUAAAGGGCGUGUAGGCGGAUAGUCAAGCGUUCUGUGCAAUCUCGGGGCCCAACCCCGAACACGCAGAGCGAACUGAUUAUCUUGAGUAGUUCAGAGGUUGGCGGAAUUCCUGGUGUAGCGGUGGAAUGCGUAGAUAUCAGGAAGAACACCGAUGGCGAAGGCAGCCAACUGGGGGACUAACUGACG
rnacentral:rRNA from 1 species